rnacentral:rRNA from 1 species
AAAGGAUUCCCUAGUACGGCGAGUGAGCGGGAAGAGCUCAAAUUUGAAAUCUGGUAGCCUUCGGUUGCCCGAGUUGUAAUCUAGAGAAGUGUUUUCCGCGUUGGCCCAUGUACAAGUCCCUUGGAACAGGGCGUCAUAGAGGGUGAGAAUCCCGUCCUUGACAUGGACCCCCAAUGCUUUGUGAUACACUUUCAACGAGUCGAGUUGUUUGGGAAUGCAGCUCAAAAUGGGUGGUGAAUUCCAUCUAAAGCUAAAUAUUGGCGAGAGACCGAUAGCGAACAAGUACCGUGAGGGAAAGAUGAAAAGCACUUUGGAAAGAGAGUUAAACAGUACGUGAAAUUGUUGAAAGGGAAACGAUUGAAGUCAGUCAUGCUCUUUGGUUUAAGCCGUUCUGCGGUGUAUAUCAUUGAGUGGGGUCAACAUCAGUUUUGACCGCUGGAAAAGGGCAGGAGGAAGGUAGCACCCCCGGGUGAACUUAUAGCCUCUUGUCGUAUACAGUGGUUGGGACUGAGGAACGCAGCAUGCCUUUUGGCCGGGAUUCGUCCACGUACAUGCUUAGGAUGUUGACAUAAUGGCUUUAAACGACCCGUCUAACC